rnacentral:rRNA from 1 species
GACGAACGCUGGCGGCGUGCUUAACACAUGCAAGUCGAGCGGUAAGGCCCUUUCGGGGGUACACGAGCGGCGAACGGGUGAGUAACACGUGGGUGACCUGCCCUCAGCUCUGGGAUAAGCCUGGGAAACUGGGUCUAAUACUGGAUAUGACUCCAUGACGCAUGUUGUGGGGUGGAAAGCCUUGUGCGGCUGAGGAUGGGCCCGCGGCCUAUCAGCUUGUUGGUGGGGUGAUGGCCUACCAAGGCGA